rnacentral:rRNA from 1 species
UCCUACGGGACGCAGCAGUGGGGAAUAUUGCCCAAUGGGGGGAACCCUGAUGCAGCAAUGCCGCGUGAAGGAUGAAGGUUUUCUGAUUGUAAACUUCUUUUGUACGGGACGAAGAAAGUGACGGUACCGUAAGAAUAAGCCACGGCUAACUACGUGCCAGCAGCCGCGGUAAUACGUAGGUGGCAAGCGUUAUCCGGAUUUACUGGGUGUAAAGGGCGAGUAGGCGGGAUUGCAAGUCAGAUGUGAAAACUAUGGGCUCAACCGAUAGAGUGCCUUUGACACUGCAGUUCUUGAGGGCUGGAGGG